GCGAGCUUGACCACCCGAUCCCGUUAGUCGCCUCUUGCGACAAGCAUAUGCGUUCCCGAUGAUACCGGUGGAGUUCACUGGUGGAAUGGUACCGGUGGACCAAUGAUCUCGCUGUUACCAGUGGGCCUUGAGUUGUGUUCUCAAAACCGAUGGACUGGUGGCGGGGCUUGGAGUGACAGUCUGGCUACCGGUGAUCAUGAUUUUAUGAUCGCUUCAAUAAAUUUGUGUUUCAAACUUA